rnacentral:rRNA from 1 species
CUGGGCGUAAAGAGCUCGUAGGUGGUUUGUCGCGUUGUUCGUGAAAUCUCACGGCUUAACUGUGAGCGUGCGGGCGAUACGGGCAGACUUGAGUACUGCAGGGGAGACUGGAAUUCCUGGUGUAGCGGUGGAAUGCGCAGAUAUCAGGAGGAACACCGGUGGCGAAGGCGGGUCUCUGGGCAGUAACUGACGCUGAGGAGCGAAAGCGUGGGGAGCGAACAGGAUUAGAUACCCUGGUAGUCCACGCCGUAAACGGUGGGUACUAGGUGUGGGUUUCCUUCCUUGGGAUCCGUGCCGUAGCUAACGCAUUAAGUACCCCGCCUGGGGAGUACGGCCGCAAGGCUAAAACUCAAAGAAAUUGACGGGGGCCCGCACAAGCGGCGGAGCAUGUGGAUUAAUUCGAUGCAACGCGAAGAACCUUACCUGGGUUUGACAUGCACAGGACGCCGGCAGAGAUGUCGGUUCCCUUGUGGCCUGUGUGCAGGUGGUGCAUGGCUGUCGUCAGCUCGUGUCGUGAGAUGUUGGGUUAAGUCCCGCAACGAGCGCAACCCUUGUCUCAUGUUGCCAGCGGGUAAUGCCGGGGACUCGUGAGAGACUGCCGGGGUCAACUCGGAGGAAGGUGGGGAUGACGUCAAGUCAUCAUGCCCCUUAUGUCCAGGGCUUCACACAUGCUACAAUGGCCGGUACAAAGGGCUGCGAUGCCGCGAGGUUAAGCGAAUCCUUUUAAAGCCGGUCUCAGUUCGGAUCGGGGUCUGCAACUCGACCCCGUGAAGUCGGAGUCGCUAGUAAUCG